ACGGGUCUGGAAAGCAGGCACCAGCGCGCCGCAUCACGCGUGACUGUCACUUUCCGAGGGUUUGGCGGUGUGGCCAAGAAAAGCCACUUGCCACUGUUUGGGGGUGCGGGCAGGCUAUUGGGGUGCGCUCUUGACAUUCAGGCCGCAGCCCCGGGUCCUCCUCUGCAGGCGGCUCUGACCCCCCCCCCCCCCCCCCAGUGCUCCGUGAAGAUGGGCUGGCGGCUCGGCGCCCGUUUUCUGUCAUGCCCGGUGGAGAUGUCCCAUCACGCGCCCUGGGGGACGCCUGCAGGGCGCUCAUGAACCGCGCUCCGACGGUGUCGUCCGAAGGUUGAACAUUCCCACGGGGAUGAUGGCACAGCUUCUAAGAGGAACUGUUUUCCCUCCUCUUCCAUCCCCGAAGCUCCUGCAGCAGCAGUUCAUGGCUACCGAAGUGACCGCUGCAACACCCCGUUUCCCAACGACACGCCUUCCCCCCCAGACCCCCUUCAGAUCGUGGCCUUCAGCGGUUGAACUUCUCAUUCGUAAACAUGCCAUUCAAAAAUGCAGAGUGAAAACGACGGGGGCCUUUUUAAGAGGUGGCUGUGUGUGAUGCAAGAAUGAAGGGUCAGUCCGAUUGCAAUUGCUUUGCCGUGGUAGGACUGGGAGAUGAUUUUAGAGGGGACGCGGCAGGUUCUUUCUCCAACCAGGAGAAUAAAGAGGAGGUGCGGGGUCGGCUGACGGGUGCGGGGGGUCCAGGACACAGGUGUGAGACAGGUGGGCUGGUGGUUAGGCACCUGCUCUCAGGAGCCGGGCCUGGGGCCCAAUCCCAGCUCUGGGACUUACCGGCCACACGUCCUUGCUCAUCCUCUCUCUGUGCCUCAGUGUCCUCAUCUGUUAAAUAGAGAUAAGAGUAGCACCUAUCUAGUAGUCAAGUCGUUUUGUAGAAGAAGGAGUUCAUACGGUGUGACCGGCUUAGAGGAGUGCCUGGCAGGGCACAGGGAAGGUCCGGGUAAGGGCCUGUUCUAUUAGGUGUGUCGAUAGCAGCGUAUAAACGAGGUAGCUUGGGAUACUCUCUAAGAAGAACACGUUGGCUCUCUUUUAAGUAAGCUCAGAACUGUCAAUAACUAGCAAACACAUGCUUUUAAAGCCCAACUACAUCUUAUCAAGGGGCUGUGGUCAGGCCAAGGAUAAAGCUUUUUAUGUCUGAAAUUGCCACAGAUGAAAGAAAGUAAAUGCUUUCCUGAGCACUGAGAGGAAAGACAGACUUAAGCAAGUCCGUGAUUGGUAUUCGUAGCUUAGUGGAAGAAGUACUACUUUACACCGCCGUACUUUCUUUCAGCAUUGCUGUAUACACUUUGAAGUCAGUGUGUUUUAUGCAGAGCCCACACACAUCCAUUCUCUGGCCCUAGAAAGACUGGCCUUGGCAUCGGGACCACAGAAGCGGUUUGGCCAGGCUGUGCUGUGAGGCGUGAGAAGGGUCAAGAUGGGCAGUGAAAACAGCAUUACCCAGGCACGUGCAGGCCAUGGAAGACCAACCUCAUGAAAUAGAGGACAUUUACUGGGAAGUGGACUCAAACGACCUCGUUCAUCAGGAAUCAAGAAAUAGUUCAAGCUAUGGGCUCAUGACACAUUUGCACUCAUGAUACGGGCUCAGAAGUCAAGAGCUGUUGCUGAAACAUAACCCAUUUGUACUUCCAACCUGAGCACACUUGCCGCCGAGGAGGAGGCGUGCUUGUAAGCCAACGAAUCGUCCAGACAGUCCGAUUUAACACAUCAUCAUUUAAAACAUUCCAUCAUUCAGGCAGAUCCGUUCUCUCCUGUCUCCUGCAAACCUUGGCUACUCGGUUUGGGAAGUGCUGAGGAGAACCAAGAAUGCACUUUGGAGUUAUUAUAAAAAGUAUGAUUAGCUGAGUUUUUCCACACUUCCGGGAAACUUAAAAAUGACUUCAGAUGAUGACUGUCAUCCCACCACAUGAAAAAUCGAUUAAGGCUAAGAAAUCACUCGUCUAUGACAGACUUCAGGCCCAGAGCCUAUCUUUUUUUCAUCCAGGACCUUCUGGUACAAGUAACCAAAAUCCUACUCACCCUAAAGAAAAAAGAGGGGAAGGGAAUUAUCAGCUUCGGUAACUCAGUCACAGGUGGGCCUGAGCUUGGGGAAGAUUGGAUCCAGGGCCCAUGUGAUGUGUGGCCCCCUGUCUCUGUCUCUGAGUGUGUGUGUCACUUGUUGCACAUUGUGGUCAGCUCGAGCCAGGGCUAUAGGCAGUCCUGGCCACACACCUGUCACCCUUGUGACCAGGGACAAGCGGGGAGGGAUCCUUUAUCUCCCGUAGCAGCUAAGGAAACCCCAGAGAAGGUCUCUGGCUGGCCCCAUCUGGAUCACAAGCCUACAUCAGUGGCCAAGGCUGGACUGCUGCGAUUGGCUGCCUUCAACCUACAUGGUUAAAGAGGAAGAGGAUGGAUACUGUUCGAGGCAGAAGAACAUAAAAGGUGUUAUAAAUAUAACCAACACAAUCUAAAAUCUGAAACAUACAAACAAUUUCAAGGGGAUAAAGAAUCGCAUCUAAUCUCUCUACCCAAAGACAACCACUGUUA